rnacentral:rRNA from 1 species
GGAAUUAUUGGGCGUAAAGAGCUCGUAGGCGGUUUGUCGCGUCUGCUGUGAAAACGCGAGGCUCAACCUCGCGCCUGCAGUGGGUACGGGCAGACUAGAGUGCGGUAGGGGAGAUUGGAAUUCCUGGUGUAGCGGUGGAAUGCGCAGAUAUCAGGAAGAACACCAAUGGCGAAGGCAGCUCUCUGGGACGGUACUGACACUGAGACGCGAAAGCGUGGGGAGCAAACAGG